rnacentral:snRNA from 17 species
GGAUGUGAGGGCGAUCUGGCUGCGACAUCUGUCACCCCAUUGAUCGCCAGGGUUGAUUCGGCUGAUCUGGCUGGCUAGGCGGGUGUCCCCUUCCUCCCUCACCGCUCCAUGUGCGUCCCUCCCGAAGCUGCGCGCUCGGUCGAAGAGGACGACCUUCCCCGAUAGAGGAGGACCGGUCUUCGGUCAAGGGUAUACGAGUAGCUGCGCUCCCCUGCUAGAACCUCCAAACAAGCUCUCAAGGUCCAUUUGUAGGAGAACGUAGGGUAGUCAAGCUUCCAAGACUCCAGACACAUCCAAAUGAGGCGCUGCACGUGGCAGUCUGCCUUUCUUU